rnacentral:rRNA from 1 species
AACGAACGCUGGCGGCAUGCCUAACACAUGCAAGUCGAACGAGCCCUUCGGGUCUAGUGGCGCACGGGUGCGUAACGCGUGGGAACCUGCCCUUAGGUUCGGACUAACUCCCCGAAAGGGAUGCUAAUACCGGAUAAUGUCUUCGGACCAAAGAUUUAUCGCCUUUGGAUGGGCCCGCGUUGGAUUAGCUAGUUGGUAGGGUAAUAGCCUACCAAGGCGACGAUCCAUAGCUGGUCUGAGAGGAUGAUCAGCCACACUGGGACUGAGACACGGCCCAGACUCCUACGGGAGGCAGCAGUGGUGAAUAUUGGACAAUGGGCGAAAGCCUGAUCCAGCAAUGCCGCGUGAGUGAUGAAGGCCGUAGGGUUGUAAAGCUCUUUUACCCGGGAUGAUAAUGACAGUACCGGGAGAAUAAGCUCCGGCUAACUCCGG